UUGGGACAAGGGCUGGGCGUGGUUUCGCCGUUCCGCGGAACGCUGGGAAGGGGUCACUUACAGAUGAAGGUUCCGGUUCCGGUGCAGGUGGUGUUUGUGUUGCCAGGGCAGCGUGGUUGGUCCCUUCGUGGUUGCUGUGUUCCGGGUGCUCACGCGGCUGGAGCGGGUCUGGGUCCGCCGUCGCCGACUUAGGUGGGCGGCCCAGAGCCUCCGGAAGGCCGCGGCGGGAGUAGGGGUCACGCCGGGGUCUGGCGGCCGGCCAGGCGCGCCCGGGGCUGCGGCGUCGGGGCCGCCCGGUCCUCCCGUGGUCCCGCUGCCCACGUGGGAGCAGAGGCCCCCAGACCCCUUCCCGUGGUUCCCGCCUCUGCAGAGCGAUUGUUUCACUAAAACAGUUUUGCUUUUUAAAGUUUGUAAAACGCUCUCGAUUGUGUGAUGGGGGCUUCUCUGACUUUACAGGCUGUUUUAGCUCCUGGGCCUGGGCCCAGGAAAGGUUUGUUGAAUGGGGAACUAAGAAAGGAAUUGGUUCGUUCGACAAACGUUUUCUGAGCCGCUGCUGCGUGCAGGGCACGGUGCCGGCGCGGGACCUCCAGGGAGACCUGUGCCCAAAGCUUGAGACGUGAGAAGCAGUACGUAGAACAGUGCUUGGAACCCGGCAGAUGCUCACAGUGGUGGAAAGAGUGACCCCAGAAGAGCGGGGCUCAGUGAAAUCGCCACGUGAUCUGUAGUCUUGGAGCCGCACUGGGGUGGUGGUACCCCAGAGCACACCAGACUUGCAGAGAAAGCAUCCUCCAGAGGAAGCUGAGGCAUGGCUGCUCAAGGGCCAGCAAGUCAUUGGUUCCAGGUAAAUUGGAGGAACAAACAUCAUACAGAAAUAUACAGGAAGUGAUGUGAUGCCGAAGCUUAACUGUUGUUUGAGAAGUCCAGCGUCUGGUGCGCUUAACAGUAGGGACUAUAUUAUUUGCACCUAAUUUUUACUCCUACUUAUGUUAUAGUAAGUUGUUUCUUUUUUUAAAAAAUAAAUAUUGGCAUUUCGUUCCAGAAAACCUGAAUUGUUUAUUGCCUACCCUGAACUGUCUAAUUCUGCUCUUGUGUUGACUGGAACAGGGAGAAGAAUUUGCAAACCUAUGAUGUGAGGAUCCAGAGACAUAGCACUAGUCAUGGGGUCUACCUAAUAGCAUGUCACUUUCCUUGUGUGUAAUAUUGGCUUUGCCAGUACAGUUGGCAGACAUUUUAUUACAUUGAGAAUACAGCUGUCAUUAAAGGUGAAGAGUAAUCCUUGAGCAGAAAGAACACAAAUCUGUUUUCCAGAUUUAUAAUAGAGUUGCUGUAUAUAGUCGAGUAUGAUAAGGACAUCUGUGAAAUGCAAGGAAAGCAAGUCGGGGCUCUUUCAGGGAGCUAAGCGGGAUGGCUUUGAUAAUACGAUCAAGGCCAGGAAAACAGAUCAUGUAUCCAGACCAAGGAAAUUGAAACAAUACUCCUAAAUUUAAGUUUUGAAUAAAGCAACCUAAAAUGCAAAAUGUUGUUUGUGUUGAACAUAUUCCUCUUUGCC